CGGAGGGAGCUAGCGUUGUUCGGAAUCACUGGGCGUAAAGCGUGCGUAGGCGGUGACUCAAGUCAGAGGUGAAAGCCUGGAGCUCAACUCCAGAACUGCCUUUGAAACUAGGUCGCUAGAAUGUCGGAGAGGUGAGUGGAAUUCCGAGUGUAGAGGUGAAAUUCGUAGAUAUUCGGAAGAACACCAGUGGCGAAGGCGGCUCACUGGACGACUAUUGACGCUGAGGCACGAAAGCGUGGGAGCAAACAGGAUU
rnacentral:rRNA from 1 species